rnacentral:rRNA from 1 species
UACGUAGGGACCAAGCGUUGUUCGGAAUUACUGGGCGUAAAGCGCGCGUAGGCGGCUUUGUAAGUUAGAGGUGAAAGCCCGGGGCUCAACCCCGGAAUUGCCUUUAAGACUGCAUCGCUUGAAUCCGGGAGAGGUGAGUGGAAUUCCGAGUGUAGAGGUGAAAUUCGUAGAUAUUCGGAAGAACACCAGUGGCGAAGGCGGCUCACUGGACCGGCAUUGACGCUGAGGUGCGAAAGCGUGGGGAGCAAACAGG